rnacentral:rRNA from 1 species
UACGAGGGGGGCACGCGUUGUUCGGAAUUAUUGGGUGUCAAGGGCGCGUAGGCGGUGCGGUAAGUCACCUGUGAAAUCUCCGGGCUUAACUCGGAGUCUGCAGGCGAAACUGCCGUGCUGGAGUAUGGGAGAGGUGCGUGGAAUUCCCGGUGUAGCGGUGAAAUGCGUAGAUAUCGGGAGGAAUACCUAUGGCGAAAGCAGGUUUCUGGGCCAUCACUGACGCUGAGCUGCGAAAGCUAGGGGAGCAAACAGG